CCUACGGGAGGCAGCAGUGGGGAAUAUUGGGCAAUGGGCGCAAGCCUGACCCAGCAAUGCCGCGUGAAGGAAGAAGGCUUUCGGGUUGUAAACUUCUUUGACAGGGGAAGUGCAGAAGACGGUACCCUGAAAACAAGCCACGGCUAACUACGUGCCAGCAGCCGCGGUAAUACGUAGGUGGCAAGCGUUGUCCGGAUUUACUGGGUGUAAAGGGCGUGUAGCCGGGAAGGCAAGUCAGAUGUGAAAUCCGGAGGCUCAACCUCCGAAUUGCAUUUGAAACUGUUUUUCUUGAGUACUGGAGGGGCAGGCGGAAUUCCUAGUGUAGCGGUGAAAUGCGUAGAUAUUAGGAGGAACACCGGCGGCGAAGGCAGCCUGCUGGACCGUAACUGACGUUGAGGCUCGAAAGCGUGGGGAGCAAACAGGAUUAGAUACCCUUGUAGUC
rnacentral:rRNA from 1 species